UUGGAGGGCAAGUCUGGUGCCAGCAGCCGCGGUAAUUCCAGCUCCAAUAGCGUAUAUUAAAGUUGUUGCCGUUAGAAAGCUCGUAGUUGAACCUUGGACCUGGCUGAUCUGUCCUCCUAAUCGAGCGCACGGAUUCGGUCGGGUCUUUCCUUCUGGGGAGCCCUAUGCCCUUCACUGGGUGUAGUGGGGAACCAGGACUUUUACCUUGAAAAAAUUAGAGUGUUCAAAGCAGGCCUUUGCUCGAAUACAUUAGCAUGGAAUAAUAGAAUAGGACAUCGGUUCUAUUUUGUUGGUUUCUAGGACCGCUGUAAUGAUUAAUAGGGAUAGUCGGGGGCGUCAGUAUUCAAUUGUCAGAGGUGAAAUUCUUGGAUUUAUUGAAGACUAACUACUGCGAAAGCAUUCGCCAAGGAUGUUUUCAUUAAUCAGUGAACGGAAGUUAGGGGAUCGAAGACGAUCAGAUACCGUCGUAGUCUUAACCAUAAACUAUGCCGACUAGGGAUCGGACGGUGGUUUUUUUAUGCCCCGUUCGGCGCCUUACGGGAAAC
rnacentral:rRNA from 1 species